rnacentral:lncRNA from 10 species
AGGACUCUGAAACAGCUAUUGUGUUCAACCAUCUAAAGGAAAACAGGGACACAAGAAAGACAAAAGUAGGAGAAAUCAAGAAGAAGACUCCAAAGAUAAAAAUUGCUCUAUCUGAAAUGAGUAUUUCACUAGAUUAAAUUAACAAUGGAUUAGAUCCUACCAGGAAAAGGCUCAGUAAACUUAAAGACUUAGAGAAUAAAUUUAUCCUAAGGGAAGUGCAGAUACUGAAAAACCAGCAGAGCCUCAGUAAGCUAUGGGACAAUACCAAACAGCCAAACAUAAGCAUGAAAGGGAGAGAG